AUUGAACGCUGGCGGCAGGCCUAACACAUGCAAGUCGAACGAGUGGCGGACGGGUGAGUAAUGUCUGGGAAACUGCCCGAUGGAGGGGGAUAACUACUGGAAACGGUAGCUAAUACCGCAUACCAUCGGAUGUGCCCAGAUGGGAUUAGCUUGUUGGUGAGGUAACGGCUCACCUAGGCGACGAUCCCUAGCUGGUCUGAGAGGAUGACCAGCGUGAGUGGAACAGAGACACUGGCCAUGCUCCUACGGGAGGCAGCAGGGGGGAAUAUUGCACAAUGGGGGCAAGCCUGAUGCAGCCAGGCCGCGUGUAUGGAGAAGGCCUUAGGGUUGUAAAGUACUUUCAGCGGGGAGGCGUUACCCGCAGAAGAAGCACCGGCUAACUCCGUGCCAGCAGCCGCGGUAAUUC
rnacentral:rRNA from 1 species